CCUACGGGUGGCUGCAGUGGGGAAUAUUGCACAAUGGGGGAAACGCUGAUGCAGCGACGCCGCGUGAGCGAUGAAGUAUUUCGGUAUGUAAAGCUCUAUCAGCAGGGAAGAAAAUGACGGUACCUGACUAAGAAGCACCGGCUAACUACGUGCCAGCAGCCGCGGUAAUACGUAGGGGGCAAGCGUUAUCCGGAUUUACUGGGUGUCAAUGGAGCGUAGACGGGGGUGCAAGCAAGAUGGGAAAGCCCGGGGGUUAACCCCCGGACGGCAGUUGGAACUGGGCUGAUAGAGUGUCGGAGAGGCAGGCGGAAUUCGUAGUGUAGCGGUGAAAUGCGUAGAUAUUAGGAGGAACACCAGUGGCGAAGGCGGCCUGCUGGACGAUGACUGACGUUGAGGCUCGAAAGCGUGGGGAGCAAACAGGAUUAGAUACCCGUGUAGUC
rnacentral:rRNA from 1 species